rnacentral:lncRNA from 1 species
UGCUUUCCUAUGUUAUGCAUCAAUAUCAAUUAAUUUGUAACUUUCAAAAUGGCAAAUUCUUACUGUAUGUUUCAGCCAAAAAAUAAAAAGAAUAAAAAUAUCAAUAUUCCUAAUUCAGGGAUUCCAUGUGGUCUGAUUGAUUGUAGCUUCUGCCUAGUAGUCAUCUGCUAAUCUUGCUUUUUCCCUAUUGUUGGAUCAAUGC